CUUCUUCAGCCUUAAUGGCUCUGUAAUGCAUAUUUAAUAAAUAACGUGAGAAAGAAAUUUUUCGCUACCUCUUUUAUUCAUAUGUUGAAUUGUCGGUUGCCGAGCUUCUUUCGGCUUUUGCCUUGUUCGAAAUCGAUGCCGUUCGGAGGUAUCCGAUUGUCGUCGCAUUGGCCGGUCCUUUCGUCCAUGGCCGCAGAUUUGUCCGGGGCCGCUCGGGUUUGACGCCCCCUCUC
rnacentral:lncRNA from 1 species